UGGGGAAUUUUGGGCAAUGGGCGAAAGCCUGACCCAGCAACGCCGCGUGAAGGACGAAAUCCCUCUGGGAUGUAAACUUCAAAAGUUGGGGAAGAAAUGGCGCAGGCGAAUAGCCGGCGCAGAUGACGGUACCCAACGUAAGCCCCGGCUAACUACGUGCCAGCAGCCGCGGUAAUACGUAGGGGGCAAGCGUUGUUCGGAAUUACUGGGCGUAAAGGGCGCGUAGGCGGCACGGCAAGUCGGGAGUGAAAGCCCGGGGCUCAACCCCGGAACUGCUCACGAAACUGCCGAGCUAGAGUGCGGAAGAGGCAAUCGGAAUUCCCAGUGUAGCGGUGAAAUGCGUAGAUAUUGGGAAGAACACCGGAGGCGAAGGCGGAUUGCUGGGCCGACACUGACGCUGAGGCGCGAAAGCCAGGGGAGCGAACGG
rnacentral:rRNA from 1 species